rnacentral:rRNA from 1 species
UAGGGAAUCUUCGGCAAUGGACGAAAGUCUGACCGAGCAACGCCGCGUGAGUGAAGAAGGUUUUCGAAUCGUAAACUCUGUUGGUAGAGAAGAACGUUGGUGAGAGUGGAAAGCUCAUCAAGUGACGGUAACUACCCAGAAAGGGACGGCUAACUACGUGCCA